rnacentral:lncRNA from 1 species
UUUGACAAUCUUGUAUCCGAUCACUCUCUCCCAUUAGCUACGUUGGUAAUUAUAAUUUAGAAUUUUAAUCAAAUUUUAGUUUAAGGUUUCAUUUAUGAUGUAUUACUUAAUGAUCACAAUUUUGUAUUUAUAGUUCACAGGAGGAUGUUAUUCCAAAAAAGAGAUUGAUGAAAUGAGGAUAGAGUGGGCAGAGUUUCUAAGUUCAAUUGAUGAUUGAUGAUGGUAAGUUUGAUACAAAGUUAAUUCUUUAAUAUUUUUUAGAUCUAAAGUUUAUAAACUAAUACAUUCAUAUUUUGAUCAUGCAGAUGGUGUAACUUUGACACUCAAGUAACCUCAUUUUUGACUUACAUGUAUUAUGAUCAACAAUAUUUUUUUGGAUUUGAUGUAGGAUGUUUGUAUGAUGGAUACUUUUGUUGGAAUAUAAGUAUAUAUAAUGGAGGAUUUAUUUAAUUGGUAGAAGGAAAUUUGGAGAAAUUGGUUGUGGACGUGUGUGCUUAGGAAUUUGAAUGGGAGGAUUGUAGUUUGCUAACACAAUCUUUCUUCAAUUCACUUCAUUCUAAACAAUUGAUACAACCUCCACAUAUAUAUAGUAGUCAAGUGAGAAUUCUAGAAUUCUCUUGAUUUUUUCUAUCUAGAUUUUUCUACUUAAAAUAUCUUGAUUCUAGAUAUUUCUAAUACAAAUAUCUUCACUUACUUUUUCUAGAAUUCUCUAUAUUUUUCUUUUAAAAUAUCUUCACUCAAAAAAUCAAGUUUAUUUUUAUAUUCCAACACUCCCCCUUAAACUUGAUUUUUCAUUCCGAGCAAACUUCUGAAUUUGGCGAAAUCCUUUCACGACGUGCCUUGCUUUAUAUCUUUCAACUUCACCUUUGGAAUUCUUCUUAACCUUAUGCACCCACUUGACUCCAAUGGCCUUGUGCCUUUCCGGUAGUGUCACGAGCUCACACGUAUCAUUCUUGUUUAUAGCUUUGAUCUCUUCGUCCAUUGCAACUCGCCAAUUUUCACUAUUUGCUGCUUCAGGUUCAUAAUCAGCAGAUAGGCAAAACAAGGUGAGAUCUUCUAACCUUUCAGUGUCUUCAUAUAUCUCAUCCAAAUUCCUUGCUCGUGGUGUGGCUCUUUCAUUUAACAAAGAUGGUGGUGAGUCUUCAGUAACUUGUAUAGGUGAAGUUGGUGGAGUCACUGGCUCUUGUUGGACUUCUUCAACUUGCUCGACUGUCCUUUCAUCUUCGAAUUGUGGGAUGAAGGUGAAGUCACCGUUGGAGCUGAAAUCCCAAACUCCUUCUUCGUCGAACUCCACGUCUCGACUUAUCACUAUUUUCUUGGUAUUUGGAUUAUAUAACUUAUAGCCUUUAGAGUUAGAGUCGUACCCGAUAAAGAUGAAUGCUUCACUUUUAUCAUCGAGCUUCUUCCUUCUCUCAUCUGGUACAUGCACGUAGGCUUUACUUCCAAAUACCUUUAGGUGGGAAAUUCCUGGCUUUCUCCCGCUCCAGGCUUCUUGUGGAGUCAUUCCCCACACGCUCCUUGUCGGCGAUCGGUUGGAUAGGUACACCGCGCACGCCACUGCUUCGGCCCAAAACUCUUUAGGCAGAUUCUUCGUCUUUAGCAUGCUCCUCGCCAUCUCCAUGAUUGUCCUAUUUUUUCUUUCCGCCACUCCGUUCUGUUGGGGGGAUCUCGGAACUGUCAGGGGCCGUCGAAUUCCAUUUGCUUCGCAAAAUUCUAGAAACUCCCUUGAUGUGAAUUCUCCACCUCGAUCGGACCUCAGGGCCUUGAUUUGUCGUCCGCUCUCCUUCUCGACGGCAACUUUGAAUUUCUUGAAUGCAUCAAAUACUUCUGACUUCUGCUUCAAGAAAUAUACCCACGUUUUUCUAGAAAAAUCAUCAAUGAAUAGCAGAAAAUAAUUAUUUUUACCCAGGGAGCUUGGAUUUAUUGGCCCACACACGUCAGCAUGAAUCAACUCCAGUGGCUUUUGAGCUCUUGAGCUUGACUCCUUUGGGAACGGCUUUCUGAACUGCUUCCCGAGUAGACAACCUUCGCAGAGUUGAUCGGGAUGCUUGAUGGAUGGUAAACCUCUCACCAUCUCUUUCUUUGAUAGCAACUCCAAGCCGCCAAAAUUUAAGUGCCCAAACCGUAGGUGCCAUAACCAAGAUGGAUCUUUAUAGCAAGCUUUCAAGCAUUUGGCCACAUCAUUUCUAAUAUUUAAUAGAAACAUUCUAUUUUUCGACAUUGGCACCUUGGCAAUAAGAUUAUUUUUUUCAUCUCUUAUUGAAAGGUUAUAAUCUCUCAUGUGAAUAUCAUAACCUUUCUCUAAGAGUUGUCCCAAACUCAAGAUAUUAUUUUUCAUAUUGGGCACGUAAUAAACAUUGGAAAUAAAUUCAUGAUUUCCAUUCUUCAAGCGAAUUAAAAUUUUUCCUUUUCCUUUAACUGGAAUUUUAGAUUCAUCACCAAAGGAGACGUUGCCACUUACCGACUCAUCGAGCUCCACGAACAUGUUUCUCUUCCCGCACAUGUGAUUGCUAGCACCAGUGUCGAGGUACCACGUGUCAUCUUGUCUUCCAGCUUCUCCUUUAUAUGCCAGAAGCACACUACCAAUAUCUUGAUUUGUACUUUCGGCAUAAUUAGCCUUCUCUUCAAUCCUUACUUUUUCACUUCUGCACUCGGAAGCAUAGUGCCCAAAUUUAUGGCAAUUAUAACACUUUAUUGAAGACUUAUCGUACCUCGACUGCGGGUUGCUCCUCCCCCGACCACUUGUAAACUCAUUUCUUUCACCAUUGUUGACGAAACCUCCUCGUCCUCGACCACGUCCACGUGCUCGGCCUCUGCCUCGAUCUUGUCCUUGGCCACAUCCUCUUCCGGAUUGUCCAUGACCAUUGCUCGGACCUUCUUCUUUCUCUUUCGGGCUUACUUGCAACUUUAAAAGUUGCUCUGAAAUCUCUUGCUUCUUCUUUUGCUUCUCCUCAUAUGCUUGCAGCGACCCCAACAAGAAAUCGAUCGUCAACUCCUCC